AUACGGAGGGUGCAAGCGUUAAUCGGAAUUACUGGGCGUAAAGCGUACGUAGGCGGUUCGUUAAGUUAGAUGUGAAAGCCCCGGGCUUAACCUGGGAACUGCAUUUAAAACUGGCGAACUAGAGUUGAGUAGAGGGGAGUGGAAUUUCAGGUGUAGCGGUGAAAUGCGUAGAGAUCUGAAGGAACACCAGUGGCGAAGGCGACUCCCUGGACUCGAACUGAUGCUGAGGUACGAAAGCGUGGGUAGCAAACGGGAUUAGAAACCCUAGUAGUCC
rnacentral:rRNA from 1 species